rnacentral:rRNA from 1 species
CGCCUGUUUAUCAAAAACAUCUCUUCUCGUUAGUUUUUGAAGUAUGGCCUGCCCACUGACCUUGAAUGUUGAAGGGCCGCGGUAUUUUGACCGUGCAAAGGUAGCAUAGUCAUUAGUUCUUUAAUUGUGAUCUGGUAUGAAUGGCUUGACGAGGCAUAAGCUGUCUUAAUUUUGAAUUGUUUAUUGAAUUUGGUCUUUGAGUUAAAAUUCUUAGAUGUUUUUAUGGGACGAGAAGACCCUAUAGAGUUUGACAUUUAUUAUGGUCUCUUUCUGUUUGUGAGGGUUCACUAGGGCUGUCUAAUAUGUUUUGUUGGGGUGAUGGGAGGGAUAUUAUUUAACCCCUCCUUUGUGUUGUUAUAUUUAUUUAUAUUUGCUUGAUCCAUUUAUUUUGAUUGUAAGAUUAAAUUACCUUAGGGAUAACAGCGUAA